rnacentral:tRNA from 2 species
GGGUGAUUAGCUCAGUUGGUAGAGCAUCUCGUUUACACCGAGGGGGUCGGCAGUUCGAGUCUGUCAUCACCCACCA